rnacentral:lncRNA from 1 species
UCAAUUUCAAGCAACAAAAAAGAUGAGGAGAGCUGGGAUGCAGUAUUCAGUAGUUUAAACUAUAAUGCCUCAAUUUUUACUCCAAGAAAUAAUGCUAAGGCAGAGCCUCGUCAAAGGGAAAGAAGUUGGGACGGCAAGGUGAUCGAAGACGUCAACAUAAGGAGGCCCCCAAUGCGAAAGGCAAAACAAAAACAGGUUGAUUAAACGGCCGAGAAACAAUGCUAAGACAGAGCCUCGUCAAAGGGAAAGAAGUUGGGACGACAGGGUGAUCGAAGACGUCAACAUAAGGAGGCUCCCAAUGCGAAACGCAAAACAAAAACAGGUUGGUCAAACGUCCAAGAAUAAAGCAUGAUUUUUGAAGAAUUCCUGAAAAAUCAAGUGGAAGAAGACAUCAUUCUACAAAUCGAAACUUUCACAACAACAG